GUAAGGAAUAUUGGUCAAUGGACGAAAGUCUGAACCAGCCAUGCCGCGUGGAGGAUGAAGGUCCUCUGGAUUGUAAACUUCUUUUAUCUGGGACGAAAAAAGGCUUUUCUAAGUCGUCUGACGGUACCAGAUGAAUAAGCACCGGCUAACUCCGUGCCAGCAGCCGCGGUAAUACGGAGGGUGCAAGCGUUAUCCGGAUUCACUGGGUUUAAAGGGUGCGUAGGUGGGUUGGUAAGUCAGUGGUGAAAUCCCCAAGCUUAACUUGGGAACUGCCAUUGAUACUAUCAGUCUUGAAUACCGUGGAGGUCAGCGGAAUAUGUCAUGUAGCGGUGAAAUGCUUAGAUAUGACAUAGAACACCAAUUGCGAAGGCAGCUGGCUACACGAAUAUUGACACUGAGGCACGAAAGCGUGGGGAUCAAACAGGAUUAGAAACCCGUGUAGUCC
rnacentral:rRNA from 1 species